rnacentral:rRNA from 1 species
GACGAACGCUGGCGGCGUGCUUAACACAUGCAAGUCGAACGGAAAGGCCCUGCUUUUGUGGGGUGCUCGAGUGGCGAACGGGUGAGUAACACGUGAGUAACCUGCCCUCGACUUUGGGAUAACUUCAGGAAACUGGGGCUAAUACCGGAUAGGAGCUCCUGCUGCAUGGUGGGGGUUGGAAAGUUUCGGCGGUUGGGGAGGGACUCGCGGCUUAUCAGCUUGUUGGUGGGGUAGUGGCUUACCAAGGCUUUGACGGGUAGCCGGCCUGAGAGGGUGACCGGCCACAUUGGGACUGAGAUACGGCCCAGACUCCUACGGGAGGCAGCAGUGGGGAAUAUUGCACAAUGGGCGGAAGCCUGAUGCAGCAACGCCGCGUGCGGGAUGACGGCCUUCGGGUUGUAAACCGCUUUCGCCUGUGACGAAGCGUGAGUGACGGUAAUGGGUAAAGAAGCACCGGCUAACUACGUG